AGGAUUGGCAAAGUGAAAGGUGGU
rnacentral:siRNA from 1 species